rnacentral:rRNA from 1 species
AUACGUAGGUGACAAGCGUUAUCCGGAUUUACUGGGCGUAAAGGGCGUGUAGGCGGUCUUGCAAGUCAGAAGUGAAAUUCCUGAGCUCAACUCGGGCGCUGCUUCUGAAACUGCAGGACUUGAGUGCUGGAGGGGAUAGCGGAAUUCCUAGUGGAGCGGUAAAAUGCGCAGAUAUUAGGAAGAACACCGGUGGCGAAGGCGGCUAUCGGGACAGUAACUGACGCUGAGGCGCGAAAGCGUGGGGAGCAAACAGGAUUAGAUACCCUGGUAGUCCACGCCGUAAACGAUGAGUGCUAAGUGUUGGAGGGUUUCCGCCCUUCAGUGCUGCAGCUAACGCAUUAAGCACUCCGCCUGGGGAGUACGGCCGCAAGGCUGAAACUCAAAUGAAUUGGCGGGG